rnacentral:lncRNA from 1 species
AAUGAGAGACGCGGGUUUCUCUCCCGUGCCCGCCCCGCUUUCCCCGCGGCCCCAAUGACCGCUCUAAAAGGGCCGGCUUCUGCUGUCAAGUAGCUGGGCUGGGCUCCGCCGAGGCUGGGAGGGACGCGGGGUGCGGAGAUGCGCUCCCAGGUGUUUGCAGCGCGAGUGGGAAACCUGUAGGUGAUGGUCCAGCUGUGCCGCGCCGACCCGAGCAGGAGCAGAGAACACAGAUAUCCAAUUUGGGUCAUUUCUGAAGCUGAAUUCAGAAAAAUCCUAAGGUAAGCUGUUUACUUGGAUUAUGUGUGUGUAUGUCUGUGUGUAUGUGUAUGUUUUAAAGGAUAAAAAUAAUAUAAUGAUAUUGGUUCCACUUUAACUUUUUGUAAUAUUUCUUAAUUAAAAAUAUUCAAAAAAAAGAGAGAGAGAGAAGGAGGCAAACCAUAAGAGACUCUUAACCAUAGACAGAAAACUGAGGCUUGCUGGAGGGAAGUGAGUGGGAGAUGGGCUAAAUGGGAAAUGGGUGUUAAAAAGGGUACUUGUGAUGAGCCCUGGGUGUUUUUGUAAGUGAUGAAUCACUAAGUUCUACUCCUGAAACCAAUAUUAUGCUAUAUGUUAACUAAUUAGAAUUUAAAUUAAAAAUUUAAAAAUAUAUCAAAACAUGUGAUAAAUUACUUGAUGACUACUUAAUAAAUGUCCUCUAACCUUUCUGCUAAAACCCAUAUGAGUAAAUCACUGUCCAAAUAUACAAAACAAUUAGAGAACAAUUAAUACCAAAUAGUGUAGUGGUCAAUGUUGCUGAGUCAAUAGAUGUUAGAAUGAACUAUCAAAUGUGGGCUAAUGGGGACGUGUCAUAGAAUUAAUAAUAAUAAUAAUACUAUUUAUUUAGCAUUAUAAUGUAGGCACUCUACUAAACACUUUAUGAAAUGCUUUAUUUCAUACAUUCCUCGUAAGUUCCUGAGGCCAAGGUAUUAUUAUUCUUAUUAACUCAUUUUAUGAUGAGAAACUUGAGGCAUGUCUAAAGUAUGUGAUGGUGAGUGGUAUGUUUAUCAGCUGAGGUCUAUCCCAUAUCAAGUUUUGGUUUUCUACCGCUAUAUAAACUGCCAAGAGAUAUAAGAGUUAGGCAGUAUUUUCUGAAGUUUGGAUUGACAGGACAAUGAGAAGUGAAUUUUUUUGCAGUAUGAAGACCACUUAACAAAAUUGUGAAAGAUGAUCUAGAUACACACUGUGCUUGAGUGACAAGUUAGAAUGAAGGGCAUUUGAGGAAAAUGUAAUAAAUAUUGUACAGCUGGAGUAGAUGGACGUUAUGGACCUAUUUUGAUGGCUAAUACUAAGUGAUUGUUCCCAUUUCAUCUCUAUUGUCCUCUAGCUGAAAAGUACUAAACUGGAUUUUUGCUGUUGUAGCUGAGUACAAUAAUCGACAAUAUGUUCAGAGUAACCAGGUAAAAACAAUUAAGAAUAAAGUGAUAGAAUUAGGAGGGAUCAUUGAAAAUUAUGUAGUCCUUUCAAGGCAUGAAAUGACAGCCUAAUCCUGAUAGAGGCAGUGGAAAUAGAGAGGCAUGCUAUUACCAGAAGACAUGAAAGCAAACAAAUAUGACAGGUCUUCAUGAUACAGUAGGCAAAAGGAAUAAAGGGGAAGGAAGAGCAGAAUUGGUUUCAAGUUUAUUCUUAUAGCCAAAAAAAAAAAAAAAAGCAAAACUGAUGAAAGGGGAAAAUUGAUAGCAAACUGAAAAAGUUUGGUUUUGCUUUUCUGUACCUGAAAGAUCAACGGGGCCCCGCAUUCAUAUCUAU